rnacentral:lncRNA from 1 species
UGAAUUUAAUUGCAGAAAACAGGGGAUGGGAAAACUAAGCCUUCACAGCCAUAUUUGGCAGAAGCUCUGGAGCAAGAUUGCUAUUAGAGGAGAAAGUAGGAAGUGAGCCCUCGUGAGGAGCACCUCAGAGAGAUCAGGAUGCUCUAACGUGGCCAAGGGGAGAUGAGCAGAACCUGGAGCUCCUGCCACCAAGUAACAGGACAAAAGUCAAGUUGCAGACUGUUUGAGAGUCAUCCCAUCUGUUGCCCACCUGAACCAAGAACCAAAUCCUAG